GCUACUGAAGGCUGUGUAUUCGUCACGUAGUUCUCGUGCCAUGGUUUUCAGCUCCAUCAGUAAAAAAAAAAAAAAAACUGGAAAAGGCAGAUGGUUGAGCUCCUGGGAAGUUUGCCUUGAAACUGUAGAAUUUAACAACAAAAUUAUAAUACUCCCUCUCUCUGUCUCUAAUCAGUUCAAAAUGGGUUUUCUAGUGCAAUUUGUCUUAGCCAAACCUUUAUCCAGCCUCCUGUCCCCACUCCACACUC
rnacentral:lncRNA from 1 species